UAUUAUAAACUGCUGUUCAUUACACGUUACCUCUUAGACAGAUUUAAAAAUUACAACUUCUUCUAAUAAAAUAUCUUUGCUACGACCAAUUCUAUCUCGAUUUACUUUAUUUGGUAUUUAUGGGCUAGUAUAUUGUACAUCAAUUGUUGUUGGCAGGAUUAAACUUGUUUUCAUUUAUAGGAUUAUGUCACAAAAUCAACCGCUGAAAUAUAAAUCAAGAGGCUUGCAUAUAAUGAACAUAUUGACACGGGUGCAGAGUUGAGUCUAUAUUGAGUAUAUUGGCAUAUAAAAGAGUAUAUUGGCAUAUAAAAGAGCUCGACAAAUACCGGAUAACUGUCCUGGGCGUAGGCAAGGAGGCAGCUAUUGAAUAUCUGAAAACUAGAGAUCCUAUUCCAGCUGAUGAGCCAUCAAACCUUCAAAUAUUUUUGCAAGAUCCACCAAUACAAUUUCAAUCAAGCUCAUUGAACUGUAACUGUAGUCAGAGCUUUAAAAUAUGUAGCGAAUGAGGUGGUCCGCAGAUUGCGUGAUGGCCGUGAAUAUGCCCAUUUCUAAACCUCUCAAUAUAGGUUCAAUAGGAGGUGCGUAGAUAUUUUGGAAGGAGCUAGUUCCAAAAAAGAAGGAGUGCAUUAAUUACAUGUUGAAGAAUUUUACAUAAAUUUUGUUUGCGGUUUCAUUUGAAUAAAUAUUUUAAUCGA